UACAGAGGGGGCAAGCGUUGUUCGGAAUUACUGGGCGUAAAGGGCGCGUAGGCGGCCUUCUAAGUCGAACGUGAAAUCCCCGGGCUCAACCCGGGAACUGCGUCCGAUACUGGAAGGCUUGAAUCCGGGAGAGGGAUGCGGAAUUCCAGGUGUAGCGGUGAAAUGCGUAGAUAUCUGGAGGAACACCGGUGGCGAAGGCGGCAUCCUGGACCGGCAUUGACGCUGAGGCGCGAAAACCAGGGGAGCAAACGGG
rnacentral:rRNA from 1 species